UACGUAGGCAGCAAGCGUUGUUCGGAGUUACUGGGCGUAAAGGGUGCGUAGGCUGCUUUUUACGUCGGGGGUGAAAUCCUGGAGCUCAACUCCAGAACUGCCUUCGAUACUGGAAGACUUGAGUCCGGGAGAGGUGAGUGGAACUGCGAGUGUAGAGGUGAAAUUCGUAGAUAUUCGCAAGAACACCAGUGGCGAAGGCGGCUCACUGGCCCGAUACUGACGCUGAGGCACGAAAGCGUGGGGAGCAAACAGG
rnacentral:rRNA from 1 species